AGGAGCUGCUUAGAUUUAAAAACACCAAGUUCUUCAUCUAGCUCCAAGCUCCUCUCCAUUUCUCCCUGUACCAUGUGAGGGGUAUAUAUAGAACAAAAAAGGGAAGGCGAUGGCCGACAAAAAACAAAAAAAAUAUAUAAAGAUUCAGGGAUGAUGCACGGCACCAUGAGAAGGGUUCUAGGUGGGAUUAAGCUGUAUGAUAAAGGCACAUGUUCAAAAGCAACCCAUUAACACAUCUGACAUAAUUUCCCGCAUGCCAAUUCAAAGGUGGAGCUCACAUUUUUUCUAAAAAGGAAUGAUAUCCUAUGCCAAUUCAAGCACCCACCAAGAAAUCCAAUCGUGCUAUCGUCAAACCACUCACAAGUGUAU
rnacentral:lncRNA from 1 species